rnacentral:rRNA from 1 species
CCUACGGGAGACAGCAGUGGGGAAUAUUGCACAAUGGGGGAAACCCUGAUGCAGCGACGCCGCGUGAGUGAAGAAGUCCUUCGUUGUGUAAAGCUCUAUCAGCAGGGAAGAAAAUGACGGUACCUGAGUAAGAAUCCCCGGCUAACUACGUUCCAGCAGCCGCGGUACUACGUAGGGGGCAAGCGUUAUCCGGAUUUACUGGGUGUAAAGGGAGCGUAGACGGCAGUGCAAGUCAGGAGUGAAAGGCGGGGGCUCAACCCCCGGACUGCUCUGGAAACUGUACGGCUGGAGUGCAGGAGAGGUAAGUGGAAUUCCUAGUGUAGCGGUGAAAUGCGUAGAUAUUAGGAGGAACACCAGUGGCGAAGGCGGCUUACUGGACUGUAACUGACGUUGAGGCUCGAAAGCGUGGGGAGCAAACAGGAUUAGAUACCCCAGUAGUC